CAAAUGCUGGCUGAGAGGGUAAAGCAUCUGCCUGCAAUGCAGGAGACCCAGGUUCGAUCCCUGGGUUGG
rnacentral:tRNA from 1 species